CUGGGUUCAGGAAGAUUUGAAGAAGUUAAGAUCACACAUGAGAGAAGUGAGGUGGCUGAUGGGGCUCGUUUUCACAUGAAUGGAGAUGAAUGCUUCCACUUACGGACUAUUUCGACAUUGAUGUUUGAAGACGAAGAAAUGAUUUGGGAAAUUGUCCUACUGCACAACGAGAGAGAGAUCUCCUUUGAGCUCGGGGGCGUAAACGUUG
rnacentral:misc_RNA from 1 species